rnacentral:misc_RNA from 1 species
GCCUGUUCAUUGGAUGAUCGAAUCUCGCGUUUCGUCAUCUCCCCUUCGGUUCCCUGUGUUGCAUACCUUCGAGACGGUAUCCUGUCGGCUAGAAUCGCCCCGUUUCGCCCGACGUCGCGAGCAACAUCGCGACCGAGGGCGAACCGAAAAGCACUCAUCGCGUUCCACCCCGUUCGCGUGACGCGCUGCGGGACACGGCCCGCGAUGACGUGCUCGAAUUCUCGGAUGCGGAACACAAUGCGGGCACGAGGACGUCGAUCCUCCGUUUGCCCCCGAACAAGCGUUCUACGCUCUGUGCGAACGACGUUCUUCCUCGU